GUCGACUACCAGGCUGCGUUAGGAGCUACCGUCUUCAGCUUUUUCUCGCUGCUGAGAGCUGUUUUGUUACUCAGUAAAACUCUUCUCCACCGUGCUCACCCUUCAGUUGACCGUGCAACUUCAUUCUUCCUGGACAUAAACCCGGGACCCACAGAACAGCGGGUGCAAAAAGGGCUGUAACGCUUUCCUGGCCGGAUCGCCAAGCUGCAGGUAAGAUGUGCCUGCUUCACCUACUGGCGUGAAUGUAAACUUUCUGAGACCUUCCCAGCCAUGUGGAACUACAUGAUCUGACAUAUUAAACUGAGGCAUAAAAGACAGGUGAUUGUCCACAGUUGCAGAGUUGCCAAGGUUCAGAAUUGAGACCUUAACCUUUGCCUUCAAAUCUCAGGAUCAGUGUUGUUGUUUUUACCAUGGUCACAUUUCAUUUCAUUUUUAGUGACUCUGCAAUGACCAUGGACAUUAUUUUUUAAUUGUUAAGGUAAACAUGAUUUGAAAUAUAUUUAGGUUGAGUUUAUUGAGAUUAAGGAUAGCUCUAGAUACGGGGGGAGAGGUGUAGCUUCCAUUUGAAGGGAUAACAGUGUGGAAAACAGUAGAAUAGUUUGAUGUGAAAUUCCCUGGGCCUC